CAAAACUGUACCGGAAUAAAAUCGCUAUCGGAGAUGAUUUUUCCGUGCUCGUUAAGAACUCGAUAACAUGGAAUCCUUCUGGAAGAUGAUUCCGGUAUGAAUUUCAUCUCAGAUGUGUAACCGACUUUGCCGCCCGGAAAAUCCAAUUCCUGGUAAAGUUCAAAAUACGUCUGUGAAUGGAUUAUUACAUAAAUGACACGUACUAAUCAGACGGCCCCAAGUGGGACCCGCACAGCACUAGAAUGGUCCCAUUCAAUUGUUCAUACGUAUGACUAGUGUUCCCCACUUUUUUACUUAUGACUUGUGCGGCUAUGAAUCAAAUGUUGUUGUGAAGUAUGGGAUCUCGUACCGGAUCUUACCGACACCAGAUAAGAUAUUUUUGAUUUUUCUUACGGUAGAAAUCUUUGACACUAAAUUACUAAUAUAAUAACAUGCCAAAAUGAAAACCAUUUUCACCUUGAUUUUGGAUUUAGUAUGAAUCAUGAAUCAAGUAAUCGUCAAUUUUGAAAUGAGGAAACUAAACCGGAUUGAAUGCCAUUAAACCGAAAAUAUCUACUAGUUUAGAAAGAAAGAAAAACUAACGUCUCCUUGGAAGAA